rnacentral:rRNA from 1 species
CGUAGGUGGCAAGCGUUGUCCGGAUUUAUUGGGUUUAAAGGGUGCGUAGGCGGUCUUGUAAGUCAGUGGUGAAAUACGGCAGCUUAACUGUCGAGGUGCCAUUGAUACUGCAGGACUUGAGUACAGACGAGGUAGGCGGAAUUGACGGUGUAGCGGUGAAAUGCUUAGAUAUCGUCAAGAACACCGAUAGCGAAGGCAGCUUACUAGACUGUAACUGACGUUGAUGCACGAAAGUGUGGGGAUCAAACAGGAUUAGAUACCCUGGUAGUCCACACUGUAAACGAUGAUUACUCGAUGUUGGCGAUACACAGCCAGCGUCUUAGCGAAAGCGAUAAGUAAUCCACCUGGGGAGUACGCCGGCAACGGUG